rnacentral:rRNA from 1 species
GAUGAACGCUGGCGGCGUGCCUAAUACAUGCAAGUCGAGCGAACGGACGAGAAGCUUGCUUCUCUGAUGUUAGCGGCGGACGGGUGAGUAACACGUGGAUAACCUACCUAUAAGACUGGGAUAACUUCGGGAAACCGGAGCUAAUACCGGAUAAUAUUUUGAACCGCAUGGUUCAAAAGUGAAAGACGGUCUUGCUGUCACUUAUAGAUGGAUCCGCGCUGCAUUAGCUAGUUGGUAAGGUAACGGCUUACCAAGGCAACGAUGCAUAGCCGACCUGAGAGGGUGAUCGGCCACAAUGGAACUGAGAAACGGUCCAGACUCCUACGGGAGGGCGCAGUAGGGAAUCUUCCGCAAUGGGGGAAAGCCUGACGGGGCAAAGCCGGGUGGGUGAUGAAGGUCUUCCGAUCGUAAAACCCUGUUAUUAGGGAAGAACAUAUGUGUAAGUAACCGUGCAAAUCUUGACGGUACCUAAUCAGAAAGCCACGGCUAAAUACGUG